rnacentral:rRNA from 1 species
CGUAGGGGGCAAGCGUUGUCCGGAAUCAUUGGGCGUAAAGCGCGCGUAGGCGGCGCGGUAAGUCGGGUGUGAAAUCUCGGAGCUUAACUCCGAAACUGCAUUCGAUACUGCCGUGCUUGAGGACUGGAGAGGAGACUGGAAUUUACGGUGUAGCGGUGAAAUGCGUAGAUAUCGUAAGGAAGACCAGUGGCGAAGGCGGGUCUCUGGACAGUUCCUGACGCUGAGGCACGAAGGCUAGGGGAGCAAACGGG